GUGAGAUGUCUGCAGCAAGCAAGUGGUAACUUGGUGCCCUGAGAGAAUGGAGAGGCAUUGGGGGGCUCAGUCAGGUCUACCCAAGGGCUCGAGGGGAAUGCCAAAUGUGCAGAGCUCAAUGUCCAGGUUCCAUAACUAGAGUAUGCCUCUGUAUCAAGGGAGGCUAGGUAUUGUAAACCACCCUCCAGAUGUCCAGACCAUACUGUUCUAUCUGCAAUCAGAGGCGGCACACAAACUGGAGUCCUCACUGCUUAAAAAAUAAGGGUCUGCAGUAAAACCUUCUUCAUAUGAGACAUUCACCUUUAACCUACUCCUACCCUCAAUCUGGAAGAGCCUGGGACCAUGGUCAAGGUCUUUUUUUUUUACCCAAGCUUUUCAUAGAUUCAUAAAUAUUAAGGUCAGAAGGGACCAUUA